rnacentral:rRNA from 1 species
GUUCGCGUCUACCAUGCAGUCGAGCGGUAGCACAGAGAGCUUGCUCUCGGGUGACGAGCGGCGGACGGGUGAGUAAUGUCUGGGAAACUGCCUGAUGGAGGGGGAUAACUACUGGAAACGGUAGCUAAUACCGCAUAACGUCGCAAGACCAAAGUGGGGGACCUUCGAGCCUCAUGCCAUUCAGAUGUGCCCAGAUGGGAUUAGCUAGUAGGUGGGGUAACGGCUAACCUAGGCGACGAUCCCUAGCUGGUCUGAGAGGAUGACCAGCCACACUGGAACUGAGACACGGUCCAGACUCCUACGGGAGGCAGCAGUGGGGAAUAUUGCACAAUGGGCGCAAGCCUGAUGCAGCCAUGCCGCGUGUGUGAAGAAGGCCUUCGGGUUGUAAAGCACUUUCAGCGGGGAGGAAGGGCGGUGAAGGUUAAUAACCUCGGCGAUUGACGUUACCCGCAGAAGAAGCACCGGCUAACUCCGUGCCAGCAGCCGCGGUAAUACGGAGGGUGCAAGCGUUAAUCGGAAUUACUGGGCGUAAAGCGCACGCAGGCGGUCUGUCAAGUCGGAUGUGAAAUCCCCGGGCUCAACCUGGGAACUGCAUUCGAAACUGGCAGGCUAGAGUCUUGUAGAGGGGGGUAGAAUUCCAGGUGUAGCGGUGAAAUGCGUAGAGAUCUGGAGGAAUACCGGUGGCGAAGGCGGCCCCCUGGACAAAGACUGACGCUCAGGUGCGAAAGCGUGGGGAGCAAACAGGAUUAGAUACCCUGGUAGUCCACGCCGUAAACGAUGUCGAUUUGGAGGUUGUGCCCUUGAGGCGUGGCUUCAGGAGCUAACGCGUUAAAUCGACCGCCUGGGGGAGUACGGCCGCAAGGUUAAAACUCAAAUGAACUGACCGGGGUCCCGCACAAGCGGUGGACCAUGUGGUGUAAUUCGAUUGCAACGCGAAGAACCUUACCUGGUCUUGACAUCCACAGAACUUACCAGAGAUGGAUUGGUGCCUUCGGGAACUGUGAGACAGGUGCUGCAUGGCUGUCUCAGCACUGUGCUUG